rnacentral:lncRNA from 1 species
CAAAAGAAAGCAGCAACUCAACUCUCUUUAAAGGCUAUGGAGGUUCUCUUGCGACCUCUCUUCAGCAUACCCUCCAGAACAUUAACCCCACCACCGCCAUCACCACCCCCACCAAUCAUCUCACUCUCAAAACUCUCCAUUUUUGCCUCCACUAAUUCCCACUCUCUCCAAAACCCUUCUUUCUGUUAGGGAAAAAUUAGGUUUUUAAAUUUUUAUAAAACCUUUUGAAGAUCGCUCUCAUAUAAUAUAUAAAAAUUUGUAUUCUAGAAAUCGUACCUUGAAAAACCGAGUUGACUUUUUCCGCUGAAGUGAUUUAGGCUCCUAGAUCACGAUCCGCCACCACCACUCCUGUUAGAUCACGAUCUGUCACCACCACGCUUGUUAGAUCACGAUAUGUCACCAAUGAUCUUCCAGGUUAUGACUCAGGUUCGAUCUGCACUUGACGUGUGGGCGCCUUUAUCACUACCAAAGCAACUAGCACGAGAAAAUUUUUCUCUCAACAAUAGAGAGAAAAAUCUUAUUCUCUGAUCUGUAUAAAGUGGCUUUUCUUUUUUUUUUUUUAAGAAAAUAAGCCUUAUAUAUCUCCCUUUAGUGAAAACCCUAGGCUCCAAAUAAUGCCCUAAAUAAAACUCACGUUACUUUUCAUUUAAUAGGAGACCCACCAUGUAAAAUAACAUAAGGCCCAUUACACAUAAGCUAAUUAAAUGGAGCCUCCCACUAAAUGAUAUAUUUAGGCUUUUGACCCAAAUAGCUAGUUAUCUUGCUUAUUAGUCCAGUAGUGGUGCAGUCAAUUAAAUGAGCUAACCCGGGGAUUAUUGGGAACAUACAAUAGUGGCUAUAACAAUUAAGUCUGUAAUUAAACUAGCCUAAUUAUUUAAUUCCAAAUCUACUCCACUAAAAGAUUGGAACUGACUUCCAUAAUUGUAUGCUCGAAUAAUAAUUCGUCCCAAGCCACAUUGAUUUCUUUACUGCACAAUCUUUUGUACCACAUCGUUAAUUAAAUUGAUAUCUCAACUGUCCAAUCAAUUUAAUAACAUCUUAUUCCUUGAUCCUUACUGGUUUUCUCUAAUGAUCAUUUUCAACAUACUAAAUAGUUGACACACUCUGGCCAGAGAAUUCUAUGAUCAAAGUACCGAAAACCUAUCAAGAGAUGUGUUGUACAAAUUCUAUAUUGUUAAUCCAUAACUCCAAUACUCAUAAUUGCUCCCACCAAGAUACCGGGUAAUCUUGACCACAAGGAUGUGUCGUGCCCAUUGGUAACUCAAAUGAAAAUAACAAUUACAAUCAUGAAAUCAUAAUUAACUCAAGAUUAAGAUUACAGUAAAAUCAACGCCUAUGAGAUUUAAUAAGUCUGACAGUUAUUACAAAGUUAAUUAAAUCUCAUAUGUGAUCCUGUUCAAUGUAGUCGUACUACAUCAAUAAAUUCAUACAUGAUUAAGACAAAUCAUUCAAUGAAUUUAUUACAGUCUAUACCUAAAUAAAGUGCCCAACUUUAUUUAUCAACUGCGAACUAAAUUUAUUUAAUCAUAAGAUAACUUGUAUUUAUGUCUUCUGUGAAUCCACAUGGUGAUCACAUAAAUACAUAUAAUAUGAUUAAAUGGACUUUAAUACAAAUAUUAAUGCAAUUAAGAUAUUUGAAUAAAAUACCUCAUUUAUUUUAUUAAUCAGAAAAAUUGUUUAUUACAAUUAAAUAAACACAUAUGCUUUUAAAGAGCAUAAUUUCCCAACAAUCUCCCACUAGCUCUCAAAGCAUAUCUGGCAUAUUGCACAUGCUCUAGGGCUCUAAGUGCAGGUUAUAAAGGUUUCCACUAAUGGCCAUUGUAAUAAGAUCUGCCAUUUAGCAUCUAAUGCCAUUUGGGGUACUGUCAUAUAACCUUUCUACACUAUUCCCUUAAUGAUACUUCCUGUCAGUAUGUUUUGUUUCUUUUGGUUCCUUAGAUUGAGCUACUGCACCACCAUUAUCACAAAAUAGUUUAAGGGGUGCAGUUACAGCAGGCACCACCUCAAGAUCUUGUAGGAACUUGCGGAGCCUAUAUAGCUUCUUUUGCAACUUCAGAUGUAGCCACAUAUUCAGCUUCAGUUGUGGAGUCUGUGAUACAAGAUUGUUUCACACUCAUCCAACUAAUAGCUCCACUUCCUAAUGUAAACACAUAGCCGGACGUUGAUUUUCUAAAAUCCUUAUCUGACAAAAAAUCAGAAUUAGUAUAACCCACUAGAAUAAGUUCAUCACCAGAAUACACAAGCAUAUAAUUUUUAGUUCUUUUCAGAUACUUUAUAAUAUGCUUGACUGCAGUCCAGUAUUGAGGUCCAGGAUUAAAUUUAUAUCUGCUAACCAUCCCUACCGCAAAAUAGAUGUCUGGCGUAGUGCAAAGCAUGACAUACAUGAGACUUCCCACAGCUUCUGCAUAGGGAACUCGUCUCAUUCUCUUUAUCUCUUCAGAUGUUUUAGGUGAUUGAUCCUUAGAGAAUGUAAUUCCAUGUCUGAAUGGUAAUAAACCAGUCUUGGAAUUUUCCAUGCUAAAUCUAGCCAAUAUCUUAUCGAUAUAGACCGCUUGAGACAAGGCUGAAGUUUUAUUCUUCCGGUCUCGUAGUAACUUGAUACCAAGAAUAUAACUUAUCUCUCCCAGGUCUUUCAUAUCAAAUUAUUUUGCUAACCCGAUCUUUAUUAUAGUCAAUACUCCUAUAUCGUUUCCAAUCAGGAGAAUAUUGUCUACACAAAGAACUAGGAAGGCUACAAAUUUUCCCUGAAUUUUCUUGUACACACAUGGUUCAUCAAUGUUCAGAAUGAAUCCAAGUGAUUUAAUCGCUUGAUCAAAUCUGAUGUUCCAUGACCGGGAUGCUUGCUUCAAUCCAUAAAUGGAUCUCUGUAACUUACAUACCAUGUGUUCUUGGCAUUUUUUGUAUAAAUCCAUCUGGUUGCUGCAUGUAGAUGUUUUCUUCAAGAUGCCUGUUAAGAAAGGCAGUCUUGACAUCCAUUUGCCAAAUUUCAUAAUUUAGCACUGCAGCAAUGGAAAGCAGAAUCCUGAUGGAUUUAAGCAUAGCAACCGGAGAAAAUGUUUCCUCAUAAUUGAUUCCUUCUUUCUGAGUAAACCCUUCGGCUACUAAUCUUGCUUUAAAUAUUUCCACCCUUCCGUCUACUCCUCCUUUUCUCUUGUAGAUCCACUUGCACCCUAUAGGUUUUACCUCAUUUGGUGCCUCUACAAGUUCCCAGACUUUAUUGGAAUACAUAGAUUCCAUUUCUUGAUUCAUGGCCUUUUUUAAAAUUCAACAUCUCUAUCUAUUAGAGCUUCGUUGUAACUAGUGGGAUCUUAUACAUGUUCAUAUGAGAUAGCCGUAUAGGUUUCUCCCAAAAGCAUGUAUCUCGCAGGUAACCUAGUUACCCUCCCACUACGACGAGGUUCUAAAAGUGAUGGUUGUUCAAGGAUAAUCUUGUGCUGAUCAGCUGGUUGUUGCUGUUCUUCCUGUUCUAUAACAGGUGUUGAAAGCUUAGCAUCAACCUGAUCUCUUUUAUUUCUCUAGUUUUACCUUACUCUUAGGUUAUAAGUCAUUAUAUAGUCUUCCUCAAAGAAAGUAAAUAAUAUUUCUAUAAAUACAUUCUUAUCUUGAGGACUAUAAUUCAGACUUUCCCUUAUUCCUUUAAGAUACCUAAAACAUGCAAGCUUCUGAACACGAAUCCAUCUUCUCUAUCUCUGAUUCUAGUAGAAAUACUAGUAAACUCCAAAUACGAAUGUGUCUCAAACCAUGUUUGUGACUUUUUCAUAAUUUCUUGGAGUAGUAGACACCGAGAUAGAUGAAACUAAGUUCAACAAAACUUUGUAGUUUCAAAUACUAGUAUCUGGAAUCAAAAAGGUAAAUGAUAAACCACUUAGUAUAUAUAUUGUCUUAUCCAAAAGAAUCUUGUUUCUCCAUUUAAUUACACUAUUGUAUCAUAGUGUUCAUUGAUAACCAAAUAGUGCUUGAAUUCUCCAUAGAGAUAUUCUUUGUUUCGAUCAUAUCAAAGUUCUUUUAUGUUCCUGUCUAAUUGCUUCUGUCUUAUCCACGUACUCUUUUGAAUUUCAAAAGCAAUUGAAUCUUGACGCAUUUAGACAAACAUAAAUAAAAUGAAUAUUCAUCAACAAGAUUGAUAGAAUACUCAUAACCUCUUAUAACAUGUAAACUGAUUAGUCCAUAUAUAUUUGUAUGCGCUAAAUCAUCAAAUACAAUGUUAUGUUUUUAGCUCAAAAAAGAGCAUCCUUGUCAUAUUACUUUUCUAAAUAAGAUUUAUAGAGUUACAAUGAUCAAUCUUAAUAGGCCAACAAGUCUAUCAUUAAUCAUUGUCUUAAAAUCUUAUUAUAGUUUAUAUGACUUAAGCAUAAAUAUCAGAGGUGAUUUUUGGUUAGAAGAAACAUUUCUUUUCUUAGAUAAAUGCAUAUACUUUUUAUCAUUAUAUCUUACUUUGAAUAGAUCAAUGUACUUCUAUGAUAUAAAUUGUCUUUAUAAAUAACCAAAAUAAGUAAUAAACAGAGGAUCCAUAAAUAACAGUGUACUCCUGUUUAUUAAAACAAGCCACCGAAAUUAAAUUCCUCUAAUAUUUGGAAAAAUAAAGACAAAUAUCAAAACUAAAGUCUUGUAAAAUUGAUCUAGUCUUUCAAUUGAUAUAAACUAACACGUCCUCAACUGCUGUUUGAAGCUUUCUUCACUUAAUCUCUUGGUUUCCUGAAAACCAAAUAAAUGAAUUACAAAUAAGAUUAGUUAUCUCAGAAUUCAUUAUUGUAUGAAUCAAUAGAAAUCUGAACUAAUUAGGAAGCUUAAAGAUUUCCUAUACCUGAUUUUAAUAAUCUUAGGACAAUCUUUCUUCCAGUGACCCUUAUGUCCACAUUUGUAACACUUGCCUUUUGGCUUGUCACUUCUUUUAGUGGACAGUUUGCCGAUCCCAACUCUUGCUUGCUCAUUCUUGUCUUUCGACUUAAGCCUUGAAGAGAAUCCUUUUUCAGGAAGUUUUCUGCUAUUAUAAAAUUCUUCUAUAGCAUGUAGUUCGUGCAUUAAUUCAAUUACCGUCAUAUCUUUAUUGUUUAAGAUAUAACUGACCUUAAACUCUUUGAAUGUAUCAGGUAAAGAUUCAAUCAACAUGUUAAUCUUUGAUUUAUCAUUGAUUUGAACACCAUGAAUCUCUACCUCAUUCAAAUAGUCCAUCAUUUUGAGGACAUGAUCACGAACUUUUGUGCCCUCUUCCAUCUUAGUAUCCGUAAUACGUUUUAAUACUGCUUCUCUGGCAAAAUGGGUAUUUUGCCCAAACAUCUGAUGAAGACUAGCCAUAAUUUCAGUGGCUGUUUCCAUGCUCCGAUGUUUCUUAUGCAGUUCCACAGAAAUCGAAGCCAAUAUAUAGCGCUUAGCCAUUUUGUUAGCUUCGCACCAUUUCUCAUAAGGCUCCCUAUGAUUUCUAUAAUCGUAUAACGAUGGUUCAGGAGGGCAAGGCUGGGUCAACACAUAUUUGUUUCCCUUAGCAGUGAGAAUAUUAAAUAGAUUGCGUUUCCAAUCUAAAUAAUUUUCGCCAGUGAGUUCAUUUUUAACAAGGAUAAUUAAUAAUGGGUUGAUGGAAGACAUUUUCUGAAAAAACAAAAUACACAUGCAUAAAUACUUUGAAACAAUAUUCACAAUAAAUGACAAAAAUGCAAAAAACCAUAAAUGCAUUUUAAUUUAUUGUAAUGAUAAUCUAGUACCGCUUUGACAAGCUAUCCGUUGGGGAAGUCAUGUCUACACUUACUAGACCCAAUUAUCCAUUAGAUUAUUUACUUUCAUGUAGAGACAUGAUAAAUAAUUAUCGUUAUCCCUUUGGGCCUAAAUUUGUUAACAGAGCUUCGUUGGGAAGGUUAAUAACAAACUUUAGUUGAGUGUAUAACCAUUGUUUCAAUCUACGUAUUUUUCAUAUCAAUAGUCACCGUUGGGGUGAACAAUCGAUUGAAAAAUAUUUCGAUUUUAUCUUUGAAGAAGUUCAUCAAAUAAAAUAUCUAAUAUAUAUACCCUCCGAAGGGAGCAUCACCGUAUCAUGAAGUCGAGGUAUAUAUAUAAUUUUAUUAUUGAACUAACAAUGGAGCCCGUGGGAAAAAUUAUCUUGAAUUUUCCCUCUCCCACUCAAUAUUAUAAAAUUGGUUUUUCCUUUUAAAACAUACAUAUUGUUAAUUGCAUGCUUCCUAUAACAUUAUCUAGAUGAUGUCCAAUAUUAUUAAGCAUAGGCAAAUUUCAAACAAUAUAAUGAAAUUCAUAAUUAAUGAAUGACAUGUAUCAUUAUGCAUAGAGUGGCACUACCUAUUUUAUAUGACAUGUUAUCAUGGCAUGUUAUCAUCCAAAACAUAACAUAUAGAAAAAAACAAUUAAAUAAUCUUAAUUCAUGGCUUUCCUAAUAAUGAAAAAAUACAUUAACCCUAAACCUAAUCUUCAUUGGGCUUCUUGUAAAUCUCCAUCUUCCAUAAUCUUGUUUUUGUUAAUGGACUAUGAGAAAUUGGGCUUUUAAAUUUAUAAUCGGUCUAAUUUUAAUUUGGAAAGAAAAUAAAUAAAUAAUUAAAAUAAAAAUUUAUUAAAAUAAAACUUUUGGACCAAAAAUAAAUUUAAUAUAUUCAAUUUUAUCUAUGCAUUUUAAUCCAUUAAGCCCAAUUGAAAUUGGGCCUAAAACUAGGAUACAUUAAGCCCAAAACUAUUUUUGGAUUUAAACGCAAAAAAUUGAAACAUUUCUGCCUGAAGGAAAACUUAUGAAACCAUAGGGACCUUCAUGAUAAAAACCAUAAAACCCUAAAAUCAUAUUUUUCUUUCUUUCUUCCCCAGCCGCCAUCUCCACAAAGCAGUCACUGUUCAUCCAAGUCCGACACCGAUUUAGCUGCCGCCGUCAAGCCGGAAACGUACCAAACACCUCCCUCGCGCUGCACGGAAAGCUCCUGCUCGCGCUGCCUGCUACGUGUGCUGGCUGUUGCAUGCGAGCGUGCGCUAGCUGCUGCACGCACAGCGUGCGUUGCUGGCUGCGCGAGCAGCACGCGCUGGCUGCUGGCUUGCAGCGCGCGCUGCGGGCAGCGUGUGCUGUGAGCCGCGCGCUGCUGCCGCUGCGAGUGCAGCGUGCGCUUGCUGGCAGCAUGUGCUGCUGGACGCGCGCUACUUGCUGCUGGUUGCCGCUGUCAAAAUUUCCGGCCUCCGUCGCUUUGAUCUUGAAAAUCCGAGAUUAAUUUACAAAUUUCCUAGGCCAAUUUUUGGCUUACAAAAAUUCUAUAACAGUAAAAUAAAUCAAGAGGGAAACAUGAUGAUAAAAAAUCACCCCUCUUGUUACAGAUCCAAAGAAAAAAUACAACGAAAAAUAUAACCAUGAAUUAAGACAAACCAUAAACAUGCUUUAUUCAUAUAUUAAAUAAAUAAUAUACAUCUGAAUAAAUUGUGCCACUCUAAUACAUAAAUUUCAAGAAUGAUUUCAUACGAAAUUCUUAUAUAUUAAUAUGAGAUGUCUCUGAUACCAAUUGUUGGGGAAAAAUUAGGUUUUUAAAUUUUUAUAAAACCUUUUGAAGAUCGCUCUCAUAUAAUAUAUAAGAAUUUGUAUUCUAGAAAUCGUAACUUGAAAAACCGAGUUGGCUUUUUCCGCUGAAGUGAUUUAGGCUCCUAGAUCACGAUCCGCCACCACCACUCCUGUUAGAUCACGAUCUAUCACCACCACGCUUGUUAGAUCACGAUCUGUCACCAAUGAUCUUCCAGGUUAUGACUCAGGUUCGAUCUGCACUUGACGUGUGGGCGCCUUUAUCACUACCAAAGCAACUAGCACGAGAAAAUUUUUCUCUCAACAAUAGAGAGAAAAAUCUUAUUCUCUGAUCUGUAUAAAGUGACUUUUCUUUUUCUUUUAAGAAAAUAAGCCUUAUAUAUCUCCCUUUAGUGAAAACCCUAGGCUCCAAAUAAUGCCCUAAAUAAAACUCACGUUACUUUUCAUUUAAUAGGGGACCCACCAUGUAAAAUAACAUAAGGUCCCUUACACAUAAGCUAAUUAAAUGGAGCCUCCCACUAAAUGAUAUAUUUAGGCUUUUGACCCAAACAGCUAGUUAUCUUGCUUAUUAGUCCAGUAGUGGUGCAGUCAAUUAAAUGAGCUAACCCGGGGAUUAUUUGGGAACAUACAAUAGUAGCUAUAACAAUUAGGUCUGUAAUUAAACUAGCCUAAUUAUUUAAUUCCAAAUCUACUCCACUAAAAGAUUGGAACUGACUUCCAUAAUUGUAUGCUCAAAUAAUAAUUCGCCCCAAGCCACAUUGAUUUCUUUACUGCACAAUCCUUUGUACCACAUCGUUAAUUAAAUUGAUAUCUCAACUGUCCAAUCAAUUUAAUAACAUCUUAUUCCUUUAUCCUUACUGGUUUUCUCUAAUGAUCAUUUUCAACAUACUAAAUAGUUGACACACUCUGGCCAGAGAAUUCUAUGAUCAAGUACCGAAAACCUAUCAAGAGAUGUGUUGUACAAAUUCUAUAUUGUUAAUCCAUAACUCCAAUACUCAUAAUUGCUCCCACCAAGAUACCGGAUAAUCUUGACCACAAGGAUGUGUCGUGCCCAUUGGUAACUCAAAUGAAAUAACAAUUACAAUCAUGAAAUCAUAAUUAACUCAAGAUUAAGAUUACAGUAAAAUCAACGCCUAUGAGAUUUAAUAAGUCUGACAGUUAUUACAAAGUUAAUUAAAUCUCAUAUGUGAUCCUGUUCAAUGUAGUCGUACUACAUCAAUAAAUUCAUACAUGAUUAAGACAAAUCAUUCAAUGAAUUUAUUACAGUCUAUACUUAAAUAAAGUGCCCAACUUAAUUUAUCAACUGCGAACUAAAUUUAUUUAAUCAUAAGAUAACUUGUGUUUAUGUCUUCUGUGAAUCCACAUGGUGAUCACAUAAAUACAUAUAAUAUGAUUAAAUGGACUUUAAUACAAAUAUUAAUGCAAUUAAGAUAUUUGAAUAAAAUACCUCAUUUAUUUUAUUAAUCAGAAAAAUUGUUUAUUACAAUUAAAUAAACACAUAUGCUUUUAAAGAGCAUAAUUUCCCAACACUUUCUUCCUCUUCUCGUUUCCUCUCGCCUGCCCCUGGUACGCCAAUUUCCAUUCUCUGGCUUUUAUUUUGGUAAUUUAUCUUUAAUUUUUGUGGGUAUCCUUCGUUUUUUUAGUUAUCAUACAUGAGUUGAGUAGUCGUAGACGAUUUUUUAUUGUUUUAAACUGAACGAAUUCUUUGUAUUUCGAAAAUGAAAUUCAUUGUUUGUGAUGUAACUUUUAAAACUGUUGAUUUGAGUUUGAAAAAUUAAUAUGCUUAAAUUUGUCUAUGUGGAUUUGAAUCAGUUAGACAAGCAGCACAGGAGAGCCAAUCGAGCGCGGAGGUGAUGCCAAUUUUAUUUCUAUAUUAAUUUAUUAGAUUAUGUAAUGUUAUAAAUUCUUUGUUCAAAAUGUAGAGCUUGGAAAUUUAGUCGAUACAUUAUGGUAAUGAAUGUAGCUUGUGUAUCUGUUCAAAUUUAUGUCUAGCUUUGCUGUUUUGGUAAUGGUUUGUUUAGUAUAAAUUGUGUUGGUUAUGAUGUUGUUUAGUGGUUUGGAUCACUCGUGCUCUUUUGGCCCCCACUAAAAUUAAUUUUUCAUCAAAUGAUAUGAAUAGUUGUUCGAUGGAAACUUAAUGGAAGAUGUGGGAGCAUCUUUAUGAGUUAAGAUUCCCUGUAGCUGAGUAUAUCCUUUGGUGCAUAAGAGUUUAAGUGAUUAUCGUCAUUGUUGAGUUAAACAAUGGGAUUAAUUUUCAUGUUCAUGUAAGGUGAUCAUCACUAAAGUUAGAGCCAUUAGGUGAUAAAUUGGUAAUUCAUUGUGUUGUUAUGUUUGUUAUACUGGGUAAAAAUCCCAGUGAUAGAAUUCAUGUUAAGCGGUUUUGGGUCUCAUUCAAUCCCAAAAGAUGGAUAAGGGGUGAGGCUUUCCCUCACACUUGUAAAAUCACCACCAUCCUAGUUCACAACCGAUAUAAGACAACCCAACAAUCUCUCCCUCACAUAUUGGGCCUUGGUUCAAAAGCAUGGACACUCAUUUUCGCUAGUAGACUGUUGGACUGAGAUGUUGAUGAAUCUUUUAGUUGAUUUUUUUUUUUUAUAAAAAGGAAAAGAUUAUGAAGAGAUAAAUACAAUAAAGAAAAAAAGAGAUCAAUAUUGCAAUAAAACAUUCAUGUAGUGAUAUUUUAUAUAAGAAUAAUUUCAUAUAGCUAUAAAAGUAAUGGUCCUAAUUUAUAUUAGGCCAAUUAUAAAUAAGAAUAAAUUUCAUGCUGUAAUAAUUUAUAAUUUUGCUAAAUCUCACCUUAAGGAGCUCACCUCCACGUAGUGUAUAUAUAUAUAUAGAAAAAAAAACGUAUGUUAUAUUACAUUAAGUGAACUUGGGGGUUGUUUAGUACCCCUCUUUAUCUGGGAUUGCAUUGUGUUAGCAAUGCAACCCCAUGUUUGGGGUACCAAAUGGCUAUAUUAGCUAAACUCCACAUAUAGUCGAGUUUAGCUAAUGCGUCCAGUUACCGCAUUAGCUUUAGCUUCCUCUUUUUUUUUUUUUUUUUAUACUUUGUAAUAAUGAUAAAUGAAUAUAAUUUUUAAUUUAAUAUUAUAUAAUAUUAUUUUUACAUUAUAAUUUUAAUAUAAAUUAAUAAAUUUAUUGUUUAAUAAUAUUAUAUUAUAUUUUAAUUUUUAUCAUAGUAAAUGUACAACUAAAAAAUGUAUUAUUUAAUUAUAUUACAUUAAUUAAUAUGUAAAAUUAUAUUAAUUAAUAUAUAUAAUUGAUUAAUUUUUAAUAAGUUAAUAUAACUAAUAAUAAAUACUUAAAUAAUAUAAUAUAAUAUAAUAUUAUUUAAUUUAUUAAAAUAAUUAAACUAGUUAUUUUUAAAUAAUUUAAUAUAACUAAUAAUAAAUAUUUAAAUUUGAAUAAAUUUGAAUAAUAUUAAUUAAAAAUUAAUAAAAUAUAUAAUUAUUAGAUUGUUUAGCACAAUUCAUUAGUAUUUUCUAAAUAUAUAAUUUAAAUUAGUCACAAAAAAUUAAUACAAUAUAGUGCAAUAUCAAAUAUAAUAUAAUUAAAAAUUAAUACAAUACAGUAUAGUACCAAACAUUAUACAACAUUAUUAUAAUACAUUACUAAUACAACACAACAUAAUGCAAUACACUUGCAUUAAAAUAAUGCAAUACAAUAUAAUAUAAUACAGCGUGCCAAACGCACUCUUGUAUCCAUAUAGUACAAAAACAACAUAAGAGAAAAAUGUUAAAGAGAACACAAAAGUUCAGAGACUUUUAAGAUAAUGUUUUAUAUUUGUAACAAGCAUGUGCUAACUUUUUUGAAACCAUGUAUAUUUAUUUUUUCCCUAAGUUACAUGCAUGUAACUUAGCAUUAGCCUCAUUUUAUUAUUAUCUAUACAUUGGAUUUGACAUGUUUCAUUAAUAAUUUAUUACUACAUCUCUAUUAAAAUAAUUGAGGUCCUGCACUUUCAUUGGAAGAUAGGAGAAAAAAAUAAUUGAUAAGAGAAGAAAACAAUUUAAAAUAAAAUUUUAAAAUAUUUAUCAUUACUUAAAAAAAUUAAUUUUCUUUUCCUAAAGUUAUUCCACAGACGGUAGUACAAAAUUAUGUGAUCACGCACGCACACAGUGAUAGGGUAAUUAUUGAAACAAAAAUGAAAUUUGUCUGUUUUCCAUUUGAAAUCUAUUACUAAUAUAAAGGAAAAGAAAAAUCUUUAAUUACUUUUUUUUUUUUUUUUCAUGUAGGGCAAGGCAAACAUCACUAUCUUGUUAAAUUAAUAUUUAAAAUUAUCCCACCAAAUGUAAUUAUAACAAAUUAAAUAAAUAUUUACUAUGAGUUCAGCAUCUGGGUUCCCACUCCAUAAAUAUGCCAGCAUUUUAAAACAAACAAGACUUAAGCGACAAAUACAAUUUUGUCAACGAGUAUAAAGGUCGCAUUAUAAGCCAAAGGAGAGCAGUUAAGGGAAGAUAAAAUAUUAUUGUAUUGAACUGGUUAUUUCUCUCUAGGGGUGGCAAAAAAGUCUGGGCUGGUUCAGGCCCGCGGGCCUAAAGCCCGGCCCGUAAGGGUGGGCCCAGAUAUUGGCCUAAAAAUUACAAAGCCCACAUAUGUGGGAUCUGGACAAGGGCUUAGCAAAAAAACCCGGACUUGGCCCGGGCUUUUUAAAUUUAUGAAUAAAAAAUAAAUUUAAUUUAAAUAAAAAAAGAAAAAACUCAAAAUAUUAAAUUAGUUUAAUUUUUUAUAUUAGUAUUUGUUAUUUUAUUAGGUUGUAUUAUUAAUAUUUUAUGUAUUGGACUAUUAUUCUAUUUAUAUAUUAGAUGAUUAUCUUUAAUUUGAAUUUUUUCUUAAUUUAAAAAAUAUUUUAUAAUUAAUUUAAAAAGCCCAAGCCCGGCCCGAGUUCGGUCCGUCCAAAUUUAAACAGGUUUUUAAAGGGCCUGGACUUCGUUUGAAUGAUGUGGGCUUGGGCCUGGGCUUUGAAAAGCCCGGCCUAAACCCGCAAAUUGCCAUCCCUAUUUCUCUCUCUUCUAUUAUUAAUUUGUUGUUAAUUAUAACCUUUGCGGGAUUUAAAAAAAAAAAGAAAAAGGCCCUUGCGUUUUCAUCAACAUUACACUGCCAAAUGUGAAAUGGAUUGAGAACCACAUGUCCUUAUUAUGCUGCCACUCCACAAAUGUUUAUUUUCCCCUCAUUCUCCUUAGAAGCCAGAGGCAGAGUCAGUCCUGUACCCCUUUACGUAUGCCUUGGACAAUAAGGCCUCCAUAAAUUAACAUAAACGAUCAGUAGAAGUAGAGCUGGCAAAAUGGGUAAUCGGGUCGUGUUUGUGUCGUGUCAAAUUUAGAUCGACUCAUACCCGACCUAUUUAAUAAUCGUGUCAAAAUAUUGAGACCCAAACCCGACACAGAAAAAUAAUCGGGUUACCUAAUAACCCGCUUAAUAUCUAUAUAUUAAACAAAAAUUACAUCAAAUAUUUACACAUUAUCAUACAUGCGUAUGCGCAUACAUACAUACAUCCAUACAUACAUACAUAAUUUAUCGAUAUUAUAAAAUAUGCAUAUCUACUAAAAUAUUACACACACUAUUGAGGUUUUAAUUAUAUAUAUGUAAAUAAUAUUAUAUAUUAAUAUUAUAAAAUAUAUAUGUCUACAAAUAUUUUAUACAGUUAUACUAUUAAAGCUCUAAAUGUAUUUAAAAGUUUAUAAAUAAAAUAUUGUGUCUAUAUUCAUCCUUUUAAAGAAUUAAAAAAAAAAGAAAAUCAUCUCUAAUAUUUGAAUUUUGAUGACAAGAAUUUACAAAUUAUUUUAAAAUAGAAAAUAUAAUUGGGUCAUUGAUCGGAUAAAUGGGUCAAGAAUUUUAACCCUAACCCGACACGGAAAAAAAUCGUAUUGACUCGGACCCGACCUAUUUAAUAAUCGUAUUAAAUUCGACGACCCAUACUCAUUUAUUAGUGUCGUAUUCGUGUCGGAUAAUCAGAUCGUGUCAAAUUCUGCCAAUUCUAAUUAGUACAAGAUGAUUUAACCACACAAUAUGUCAAAUUUACAUUUUGCAAUCAUUGAUACUUGGUGCUACAGUCAAAUUUAUAUUUAUUCAAGAUUGCGGGUUCAAUAAUUAAAUUCACAUAAAAAGAAAGAUGCAUUCACCCUUAAUGGCCCAGGAGCCAACCAAAUUCCGCGUCCGUGAAGUGAGGCACUUUUCUUAAAGUUAUUUCACAGACGGAAGUACAAAAUUCUGUGAUCAGGCACAAAGUGAUAGGGCAAUUAUUGAAACAUAAAUAAUGUCUAUUUCCCAUCCGAAAUCUGUUCUAAUAUAAAGGACAAGAAAAAGUUUUAAUUAUUAUUAUUAUUUUUCACGUAGGGCAAGGCAAACAUCACUAUCUUGUUAAAUUAACAUUUAAAAUUGUCCCACCAAAUAUAAUUAUAACAAAUUAAAUAAAUAUUUAUAUGAGUUCAGCAUCUGAGUUCCCACUCCAUAAAUAUGCCAGCAUUUUAAAACAAACAAGACUUAAGCGACAAAUACAAUUUUGUCAACGAGUGUAAAGGUCGCAUUAUAAGCCAAAGGAGAGCAGUUAAAAGGAAGAUAAAAUAUUACCGUAUUUAACUUGGUAUUUCUCUCUCUUCUACUAUUAGUUUGUUGUUAAUUAUAACCCUUUUCGGGAUUAAAAAAAGAAAAAGAAAAAGGCCUUUGCGUUUUCUAUUAGCAUGUUACAUGUUUAUUUUCUGUGUUAGUUGUGCAGAGUAUAUACUGAACACACUGGACAAAAAGGGUAAUUUGUAAUCAAUUCAUUUUUAUAAACAUAAAUAAAUAAAUAAAAUGAUGUCAAUAUAUUUGUGGAUGCCUGGCCUGGUGUUUUUUUUUUUUUUUGAAUACUGAUUAAUCAUCAUAUUACUGCAUUACACAGAUAUUUACAACUGCUAUUAUAGCAGAUAUAUUACACUGAUAUUUACAAUCAGAAAUACAUGAUUGAGACUUAUAUUAUUACAUUGAAUUCUGUGAAGUACAUGCCCAGACAAAUAAUCCCUUACAGAAGAGGGAUGUCCAUACUCCACUCGUAUUGCACGAGGGAGAGGAAAUUUUUGAAAUAUUAAACAAAUAAGCACGUUAGCCCCCACAAAUACUUUUGUGGGGGCUUGAACCACUGUCCUCACAAUGCUUGUGAGGGCAGCAGCCCACCACUCCGACCAAGGCCGAAGUGGCCCUGGCCUGGUGUUAAAAACAAUAAAUCGUGCUGAACGAGUUAGAUCUAAUUAACCUCGGAAGUAGUUACUGAACUUCAUGUGGAAAAGAAAAAAGAAAAAAAGAUAGUCGCUGAGCAAUAAAUCUACAAGUCAUCAAAAUCGUGCAAUUCUAUGGCAAGAAUUCUUUCCAGUGGGAGGAUUCUAAAACCAAGAAUUCACUGCUGAAAUUUUAUUAACUGAAAAUAGAUAACGAUUGACACAUCAGAAAAAAAGAACAAGAUGCAAUUAAAUCUAAUAAAAUUAAAAAAAAAAAAAAAAUUCAAACAUAUUAAAUCAUACUGAAACCGGGAGAGAAAGCAUUUUGGGUGGCUUGAUCCUCCCAUUGUAGCUCUUCCCACCAUUCUUUGGAUCCCUCGAUGACAACUCGACGUUCCUUCGCGCUGCUGGAAUUGAGUGGGAGCUUCUUCAGCUGUCGGCAUUCACGUACUUCAAUUUUCUUCAGCUUUGGAAAGGGCAGGGGAUUCGGGUAAACGCUCUUUAAAUUUAUUCCCCUCCAUACGGAUAGAGAUUCGAGUUGUGCGAAAAAGUUACGCUCUGACCCGAUUAUCCCUGAAAUAUCUCUCAAUUUAUCAACACUGACUAUUUCUUCCAUGUCUCCACAAAAUCCUAUAUAUAGCACCUUGAGGUUUUGAACAAAAACAAGCCACGUUAAGUCCUUCCCUCUGCAAGACCUUAGGACAACUGUGUUAAGACUGCGGAAACCAUUUCGAAAAAGUUUCUUUACCUCUUCUGGGCAGUCAAUCUUCAUCUCUUCCAAAUUACAGUAUUCAAGAUCUAACUCCUGAAGAUUCUCCAUGUAUGCUAGAUGUAAGACAUUGAACGGUGCACUUUCACAUUGGUAAACCCAUACAGAUUGCGUGAUGCUCACCAGCUUUGGAUAUUUCAAAAACUUUUGGACAGCAAGUGAACUUCGGAAGGUCCAGCUUAAAACAUUUAAACGCUUCAAACCCAGCAAUUCCUUCAUCAAAGGUUCAGCAUCAGCACAUAGAACGUUAGCUUCUUCUUCUUCUGUUACACUGCAACAACCGCACCCACGCAACCUGAGUACCUCCAAAUUUGAAAAGCCAGAUAUCAAUUGAUGUGGAAUUAUAGACAAAUUAAAUGCAUACUCCAAGUUCAAAUAUCUCAACUUCUCCAACGCCUUCAGCUCUUGCGGCAACCCAGUUAUGUCAGCCGAUGAUAGAUCAAGAUGAUGUAAUGAAACCAAACUUGAAAUCCCUGAAGGUAGUGUACUUAGGUGAAAAUUUUCACUGAGACUUAAUACUCUAAGAGACGACAUAGAUUGAAAGAAGCCGUCAGUGAUCUCCACAAUCGGAUUUUCAUCCACAAGUAAAGUUACGAGACGCGGACACGUGGGAAUUUCCGAUAGGCUUUCAAUUCCAUUUCCCAUCAGAGAUACCCGUUUGGCACCUUCCCAUUCUUCAAUCUUUGGUGCUUCGGUCAAUUUAACUCCAGCGCGAACCAGAAAGUUCUGCUCCUCCUUGUCUACCGUGCACGCUAUCCAUAAUGACAUCUCACGAAUCAUAUCGUGCAUCUUUACAUGAUCAUCGCCUUCUUCCUCCAAUAAGCAUGCUUGAAGAAGGUCAUCAAUAAAAUCGCAUCCAUCAUCAAAAUCAUAUACAAAUCCUUCACUAAUCCAGUAAUCAAUCAAUUCCCUUCUAGGAAUUUCGUAGUCUUCAGGAUAUAAACAACAAUACAGGAGACAGGAACGAAGUUCGUCCGUAGACAAACUAUCAUAGCUGAACUUUAAACGCGAAAACACCUCUUCUUUCAUACCUGAGAAUUUAGAAGCUGAUGUUGUCAUUUUGUGAAUUGCACGUUUCCAAUCUCCAACUUUCCUUUGGCUUUUCAUGGCUCGACCCACUGUUUUAAGCGCUAGCGGCAACCCACCACACUCUCUUGCCAGGGUUUCGGCUAGCUCUGGAAUACUGGUAUGACUGUCAAGAGUGGAUCUGUCGACCAUCUCCUGAAAUAAUUCCCAGGCUUUAUCAUGCGCCAAACUAUACACUUCCAACUUUUUAGCGUCCAUUUGAUCGCAAACACCAGCUGAACGAGUUGUCAAGACUAUUUUGGACCCAUCAUUUAGAUUUUGAAGAGGGACACCCAAUUGUGUUAAAUCAAUGCGCUCCCAUAUAUCAUCCAAUAACAACACAAACUUCUUUCCGCUUAAAAUUCUAGCGAUGUCCGCAGCCUUGUCUCGAAGACUUUUUUUCUCCCAGCUUGGGUCUUCUGAAAAGCCAAUCCUUUUUCCAAUGUCAUCUUGAAGUGUUGACGCAGCCGCCCAGAUAACAACAUCAAAAUUAUGCUGUUGAUGGCAGAAGUUGUUGUUGACUUGUUUUAAAAGGGUAGUUUUGCCGACUCCCCCUAUACCAUACAAGCCGAUAAUUCCCCUGUUAUUUUCCUCAUCAGUGAUACAUCGCCAAACUCGAUCCACUAGUAAUUCUUGACCAACAAUUGUUUGCGCAAGAGGUAAUUCAAUUGCUGCACCAUCUGGCGCCUUCUCAACAACGACUUCAAUUUUUUCUCCGUCCUUCCUUAAAUUGAUCACUCGAUCCGUCAACAUGACCACUUUUCUGCCGAAAUCGUAGCUUGAAGCCAAGUUUUUGGAACAGAGGCCUCCAAGGCACAAUCUAUCCAUUUCUUGAGCUUUAACUUGUUGCAGCUUCGUAAAUUCAUUUUCCAGUUUUUGCACAUCUUCAAGCCACCCUGCGACCUGGUUCGUUCGUCUGGUUCGAGGUCGUUGUUCUUCGACCUCAACCCUGGUCUUCAGAUCGUCCCUUGUUCGAGUCAAUUUGUGCAAUUCAGUCUCCAAGCCCUCAAGAUUUUUUUCGAGACCCCAUAUAUAUUUUGCUUGUUGACCAACGCAGUUUAAAGUUCGAUUAAAAAAGUCUGGUUGUAAGAAAGUUGAGAUUAAGUUACCCAUUGUCGUUCACGAAAAGAGGAAGAGAAGCGAUGGGUACAAUGAAAAGAAUUAUGCUGCUUUGGAGAGGGUUAUAUUUAGAGAAGCACAAUACCGAAAUAAAAAUAUGAUACAUUUGUUGCUUUAUAAUUCAUAUGUCAAAUAUCAAGAAUAUAAUGAUACGCUUACACGUCAUAUAAAAUUUGCAAUUCAACCCAGUAAUCACAUAGUUAAUAUUAAAUCUUAUCAUUUGUUAUCUAAGUGAUAAAUUUAUAUUGAUAAUAUAUUUUUUAGAAUAAAAAUUUUCUACCUUAACUUGGAUGAAGAUUCAAAAUAUUAAGUCAAUGAUAGAUAGAUAAAAAAUAAAAUAAAAUAAAUUUUAACAUUAAUUCCUGGAAUCUGUCACCAUUUUUUUCCCUUAGUAACAACCAUGUUCGCUUGAGAGACCACCACAACAUGAAUAAUUUCUUCUUGGUCGACCAAAUUGGCCUUAAGAGGCUUGUGAUCUCCCUUUCUAUACUUGCAUUUGAUAGCAAAAUGUCCACAAACAUAACAAUUGCCUUUUUAAGGAAUCAAACAAGACUUAAUUAGGCGAUAAACCAGUCUAUUGGCUAGAGCCACUCAAAGUUUGAAUGAAGGUAAUUUUUCUAUCAAGAGAAGAAUUGUAAUCCUUAGAAUAUUUGAGAUGAUUUUGAGUGGUGCCAUAUCAAAAUUGAUAUAUACUAAUUUUGAUAUAUAAUUAUAUGAUUAUAAAUAUAAUGAAUAAUAAUCUAAAAAAAAAUAGGCGAUAAAGUUUAUUACAUCCACGAACAUAAAGGUCACGUUCAAGUAAAUGUGACCGUUGGACGUUGACAGCCCCUAAAAAAGAACCAAAAAAAAUCUAAUUUGAUAAAACGACGUCAGGAUUCGAAAUGGUCACGGGUUAAAAAAUUUAUUGGAAGCAUAAUAUUAACGUGCGCUUGCUUCUUCCAAAACAGCAAGAGACUGAAUGCUGAGCCUCUCUGAAAAAGAAGCUGCGUUCUGUAAGACUGAAACGUUUAGCUGAGACCUUGUGUUAAUUUUUUACAACCCUAAACCCUAAACCCUAAACCACUUGCUCUUAAUUGUCACCCGCAUUACCGUAGGAAUAGGAUUUCUCUCUAUCUCAGUUUUACUAAAUUUUUAAAAAUUUAUUUUUAUGUGUCUUUUAAUUAUAGUAUAUAAAUAAAAUUUUAUUUUUUAAUUUUUUUAAUUUAUUAACUAUCAAUCAUUUUAAAUUAUUUAAUAUGAUCAGAUCAAAAGAAAAUUUUUAUCUUUUAAUUUAACUAUGUCAAUUAAUAUUACAUAUCCUAAUUUUCUUAAAUGAUGCGGCAUUUAUUAAUUAGACACUAAGAUAGCACUAUUAAUUUAUUUAUAUAUUUUAUAAAAAACUAUCAAUCACUUACAUUACAUACUAUAUUCUGAAAAAAAAAUUUGAGUUAUCUAUUAUUAUUUAAAAAGGAGGAGUAAUUUUGGUAUGCUAAGGUUAUUUCACAAACGUAAUAAAGAAAUUUGUGAUGAUGAACACAGUGAUAGGGCAAUUAUUGAAGCAGCAAUGACUUCGUCUGUUGCGCGUGGGAAAUCUAUUAGUAAUAUAAAGGAAAAUAAAAAGUACCCUAUGUCUUUUCAACUAUUAUUAUUUUUCCAAGGCGAACUAGCCAAAUAUGUAUGAUAAAUGUCCCUAAUAUUUUUUCUGUAAAUACAAAGACAAAUUAAAUUCAACUAGAACAAAAGUCUUUCACUGGAACCCAAUAGAUAAAAGACCAAAAUGAUAUCUAGACAUACCUCAUUGUAUAGCAAUGGAAGCUUACAAGUUAAAAUAGUAUUUAUAAUCUUUUGUAACUUUCAAAUUCUGCAUUGGAUUCUGCAACUCAUCAAGAUUAGCUUUUUAGAUCUCAUAUAUAUUUUAGCAUCUCCACGAAGGAAAAAUAAAAUAAAACUGCAAGAAUUGAGUCUGGUGAUAAGAAGCACGCAUGAGAAUGAUGUUACCCAUUUUUGUUAACAAAAAUUUCAAGGAAGAAAAUAAAGUGAGAAAGAAAGAAUUAUGUUUGUGAAAAUGGAAGAGAAGGUAGGAAUUGUAUUAUAAGACUGCAAUGUUAAGUGGCUUGGUUGUGUAGGUGAGACAUUUCAUCGAACUUCUUUACAUUUCCAUCAAACACCUUGUUCUUUAACCGUCUGUGACGUCCUUUAUACCCGUCCAUAGACAUUAAAUUGGCUGAUGUCAAGUGAAUUUGAGACUACAAAUGUGCAGCUCUUGCCUUAAUCUCCUUAGAAUCCUGAAGGGUGAAAACUUAUACCUUAUAGACUUAAGGUACGUUUAGGAUUGAAGUGUUAUAACUUUUAAGCUACAGUUGCUGUAAAAAAAAAAAAUUUAAAUAAUAAUUUUGAUGAAAUUAUUAAUAAUAAUAUAAUAAAUUCUCCAUUAUACAAGUGAAAAAUUAUAUCAACAUAUCUUUCAAGACACAACAAUUAGUAUUUACUAAACACUUUACUACUGUACCUUUUAAGGUACAGGUAUCCAACUUCAAUUCUAAAUGCACUCUCAUAUGUAUACCCUUUAUAUAAGGCUGAUAGAGUAAUGUAAACUAUAUUGUCCUUUUUUUCUUGUGUUAAUUGAAAUAAUUAAAACUCAAAAUUUGUAAGUGAGGCCACUUGAUUGCAGCAAAGGAGAGCAGUGAAGGGAAGAUAAAAUUUUACCGACAUUGAACUUGUUAUUUCUCUCUCUACUAUAUUGUAGUGUUUACUUUUUAGAGUGGGAGUUUGGAGUGUGGAGUGUGGAGUGUGGAUUCCUCCCACUCUCCCACUCUAGUGUUUACUUAUCUUAAAAAAGGGGGAAGUGGGAGUGGGAAUCCGUGGGUCCCACCCAAUUUUGGAGUGGGAAGUGGGAUUCCCACUCCCAUGGGGGGAGGUGGGAGUGGGAAUCCACUCCCCCCUCUUCCCAUUUUAUCCCUAUAAUUAAAUUAAUAAAUAAUAUUUAAUAAAAUAAAUAAUAUCAUAUUUAUUAAAAAUAAUAAUGAUAUCAUAUUUAUUUUAUUAAAUUUAAUAAAAUAAAAAUAAAUAAAUAUUAUAUUUAAAUUAAUAAUAUUAAACAUUAUUAAUUUUAAUAAAUAUUAAUUAAUUAUUUAAUUAAUAAUAAUAAAUAUUUUAUUCUAAAAAAAUAUUAAUUUUGUACUAUAUUAUCAAUAAUAAUAUUUCAUUUGUGUUGUUAUUAUUAAUAAUUUUUAUUCACAUAAUUUAAAUUAAAAUUAAUAAAAAAUUAUGAUUUACAUAAUUAAGAAUAUUAGUAAUUAUUAUUAAUUUAGAAAUAUAAUAAAAUAUUUAUUUUAUUUUCCAAAUAUUUUUUAUUAAUUUUUUAAUUAUAAAUUAUAAUUCUGUACAUAAGGAUAAAAUUGUAAUUUAAAACAAUUUACUCCCAAUCCAAGACAAAGUAAACAAAUAAUUAGGAUUCUGAUUGACAAUCUAUACUUUCACACCCUACUCUACACUCCUAAUCCAAGGAUUCCCACUCCUCAGGAUUCCCACUCCAAUCCAAAAAGUAAACGCAGCAUAUAUAUAUUAGCUUGUUGUUAAUUAUAAUCUUUGCAACCAAAUAAUGUAGAAUAUGUAUACGGGUGCGAAAUUUUCCAUAGGGAAUUCAGUGUUCGAUUUAAACUGCACUUUUAUAGUUUGUUCUCCAUUUACUCCUUACUUUCAGAUCUUUGUGACAAUCACAAUUUUGUCAACCAAAAUAAAGGUCGCAUUCAAGCAAAUUAAAUGUGACCUUUGGACAUUAGCAUCAACCUCUAAAGUGAUAGCAGUAACAAACAGCUCAGCACAAAUAAUUGAGGCCCUGCACUUUCAUUAGAGGAUGGGAGAAGAGAACACUUGAUUUGAUAGCAAGACGCCAAGACCAGGACAGAGACCAAGACGAAGACCGAUGAAAAGCCCUAAACAAACCAAAAAAUAAAAAUAAAAAUGCAGUUAUGAUUAUCGUCGAAUACUUCAAACAUACGACAAGUCCAAGUUUAGCUAAGGCCUAGUGUAUAAAUUUUCUACAAGCUGUUGAAUGAGAAAAUUUGUCUAAUUCUUAAGUCUUACCUGCCAAUCACAUCAUUUUAAAUUUAGUCUGUUGAGUAGAAUUUUACUUUUAUAAUUUUUAUCUCAAAAAUCUAUUUUAAAUUAUAUAAUAUUUAUUAAUUAAAUAAUAAAAUAGCAUAAUUAAUUUAUUUAAAUCCUAUAUUAAAUUAUCAAUCACUAAAUAAAUGACACAUUACAUACUAUAUUAUUUAAAAUAAAAAUUUAAAAUAUUUACCGUUACUUAAAAAAAUUAAUUUCCUUUUCCUAAAGUUAUUUCACAGACGCAAGUACAAAAUUCUGUGAUCAUGCACAAAGUGAUAGGGCAAUUAUUGAAUAAAUAUCUCACCAAAUAUAAUUAUAGCAAAUUAAAUAAAUAUUUACUAUGACUUCAGCAUCUGAGUUCCCACUCUAUAAAUAUGCCAGCAUUUUAAAACAAACAAGACUUAAGCGACAAAUACAAUUUUGUCGACGAGUAAAAAGGUCGCAUUCAAGCCAAAGGAGAAAUUCUUUCCAGUGGGAGGAUUCUAAAACCAAGAAUCCACUGCUGAAAUUUUAUUAACUGAAAAUAGAUAACGAUUGACACACCAGACAACAACAACAAGAUGCAAUUAAAUCUAAUGAAAAUUAAAAAAAGAAAAAAGAAAUACAUAUUCAAACAUAUUAAUGAAAAUCAUCCCCAAGUACGACACCGGAAGAGAAAGCAUUUUGGGUGGCUUGGUCCUCCCAUUGUAGCUCUUCCCACCAUUUUUUCGACCCCUCGAUGACAACUCGACGUUCCUUCGCGCUGCUGGAAUUGAGUGGGAGCUUCUUCAGCUGUCGGCAUUCACGUACUUCAAUUUUCUUCAGCUUUGGAAAGGGCAGGGGAUUCGGGUAAACGCUCUUUAAAUUUCUUCCCCACUUUAUGGUUAGAGAUUCGAGUUGUGCAAAAAAGUUAUGCUCUGACCCGAUUAUCUUCGAAAUAUCUCUCAAUUUAUCAACACUAAUUAUUUCUUCCGUUUCUGUACAAAAGACUAUACGCAGCUGCUUGAGAAUUUGAACAAAAACUAGCCACGUUAAGUCUUUCAUUUUUUUGCAACUCCAUAUGACAACUCUGUCGAGACUGCGGAAACCACUUUGAAAAAGUUUCUUUACCUCUUCUGUGCUGUCAGUCUUCAUCUCUUCCAAAUUACUGUCUGAAAUGCGUAACUCCUGAAGAUUCUCCAUGUAUGCUAGAUGUAAGACAUUGAACGGUGGACUUUCACAUUGGCAAACCAUUACAGAUUGAGUGAUGCUCACCAGCUUUGGAUAUUUCAAAAACUUUUGGACAGCAAGUGAACUUCGGAAGGUCCAGCUUAAAACAUUUAAAUGCUUCAAACCCAGCAAUUCCUUCAUCAAAGGUUCAGCAUCAUCACAUAGAACGUUACCUUCUAUUACGCUCCAGCGACCGCGUGAAAGCAACCUGAGUACCUCCAACUUUGAAAAGCCAGAUAUCAAUUGAUGUGGAAUUAUAGACAAAAACCGUGUAUAGUCCAAGUUCAAAUAUCUCAACUUCUCCAACGCCUUCAGCUCUUGCGGCAACCCAGUUAUGUUAGUCGAUGAUAGAUCAAGAUGAUGUAAUGAAACCAAACCUGAAAUCCCUGAAGGUAGUGUUCUUAGGGGAAAAUUUCCUCUUAGACUUAAUACUCUAAGAGAAGACAUCGAUUGAAAGAAGCCAUCAGUAAUCUCCUCAAUCCGAUUUCCACCCAGAAGUAAAGUUACGAGGCGCGGACACGUGGGAAUUUCCAAUAAGCUCCUAAUUCCAUUUCCCAUCAGAGAUACCCGUUUGGCACCUUCCCAUUCUUCAAACUUUGGUGCUUCGGUCAAUUCAACUCCAGCGCGAACCAGAAAGUUCUGCUCCUCCUUGUCUACCGUGCACGCUAUCCAUAAUGACAUCUCACGAAUCAUAUCGUGCAUCUUUACAUGAUCAUCGCCUUCUUCCUCCAAUAAGCAUGCAUGAAGAAGGUCAUCAAUAAAAUCGCAUCCACCAUCAAAAUCAUAUACAAAUCCUUCACUAAUCCAAUAAUCAAUCAAAUCCCUUUUAGGAAUUUCGUAGUCUUCAGGAUAUAAACAACAAUACAGGAGACAGGAACGAAGUUCGUCCGUAGACAAACUAUCAUAGCUGAACUUUAAACGCGAAAACACCUCUUCUUUCAUACCUGAGAAUUUAGAAGCUGAUGUUCUCAUUUUGUGAAUUGCACGUUUCCAAUCUCCAACUUUCCUUUGGCUUUUCAUGGCUCGACCCACUGUUUUAAGCGCUAGCGGCAACCCACCACACUCUCUUGCCAAGGUUUCGGCUAGCUCUGGAAUACCGGUAUGACUGUCCAGAGUGGAUCUGUCGACCAUCUCCUGAAAUAAUUCCCAGGCUUUAUCAUGCGCCAAACUAUACACUUCCACCUUUUCAGCGUCCAUUUGAUCGCAAACACCAGCUGAACGAGUUGUCAAGACUACUUUGGACCCAUCAUUUAGUUUUUGAAGAGGGACACCCAAUUCUGUUAAAUGAAUGGGUUUCCAUAUAUCAUCCAAUAACAACACAAACUUCCUUCUGCUUAAAAUGCUAGCGAUGUCCACAGCCUUGUCUUGAGGACUUUUUUUCGCCCAGCUUUGGUCUUCUGAAAAGCCAAUCCUUUUUCCAAUGUCAUCUUGAAGUGUUGACGCAGCCGCCCAGAUAACAACAUCAAAAUUAUGCUGUUGAUGGCAGAAGUUGUUGUUGACUUGUUUUAAAAGGGUAGUUUUGCCGACUCCCCCUAUACCAUACAAGCCGAUAAUUCCCCUGUUAUUUUCCUCAUCAGUGAUACAUCUCCAAACUCGAUCAAGUAAUAAUUCUUGACCAACAACUGUGUGCUCAACAGGUAAUUCAAUUGCUGCACCAUCCGGCGCCUUCUCAACAACCACUUCAAUUUUUUCUCCGUCUUUCUUUAAAUUGAUCACUCGAUCCGUCAACUCGACCACCUGAGUCCCGUAAUUGUAGCUUGAAACGAAGUUUUUGGAACAGAGGCCUCCAAGGCACAAUCUAUCGAUUUCAUGAGCUCUAACUCGUUCCAGCUCGGUAAAUUCAGUUUCCAGUUUUUGCACAUCUUCAAGCCACCCUGCGACCUGGUUCGUUCGUCUGGUUCGAGGUCGUUGUUCUUCGACCUCAACCUUGGUCUUCAGAUCGUCCCUUGCUCGAGUCAAUUUGUGCAAUUCAGUCUCCAAGACCCGAAGGUUUUUUUCGAGACCCCAUACAUAAUUUGCUUGUUCACCAACGCAGUUUGAAGUUCGAUCAAAUAAGUCUGCUGGUAAGAAGGUUGAGAUUAGGUUACCCAUUGUCGUUGACGAAAAGAGGAAGAGAAGCAACGAGUACAAUGAAAAGAAUUAAGCUAAUUUUUACUUAAAUUCUUAAGAAUUGCUGUCAAAUGCAAACAGAGUAUGAGAAUCAGGUCUUUAUUGAUUAUGAUGACUUGAAUGAAAAUGAAAUACAGAGCUUUGCUAGUUUACAUACAGAGACAAAAAAUAAUGACAGCUAGCCUAAGGGGUAUUACACGGAAGUAAUCAAAAUUGAUCCGUGAAUAUAGCAAUUGUGAACCAAUCACAUUAAGCUUCUAGAAGAUGCAACUAUUCAAUGCACAUGCGCUGCUAUUCUUCAACAUAACAGUUUUGCCAGCUCAACAAAUCCAACUCACAGAAUCAAGGUCAACCGUUGACUCUUCACAGCUGCUGCUUUCAACAAUUUUUAGAGAACCACAACACCAAAAUAAAAAUAUGAUACAUUUGUUGCUUUAUUCAUUAUGUCAAAUAUCAAGAAUAUAAUGAUACGUUUGCACGUCAUAUAAAAUUUGUAUUUCAACCAAGUAAUCACAUAGUUAAUAUUAAAUCUUAUCAUUUGUUAUCUAAGUGAUAAAUUUAUAUUGACAAUAUAUUAUUUAGAAUAAAAAUUUUCUACCUUAGGUUUGGAUGAAGAUCCAAAAUAUUAAGUCAAUGAUAGAUAGAUAAAAAAUAAAAUAAAAUAAAUUUUAACAUUAAUUUUUUAUUUAAUAAAAAGUAAAUUCAAUACAGAAUUCUAAUCCCUUAAUCUCUCUCCAUCCACGGCAAAAGAAAGCAGCAACUCAACUCUCUUUAAAGGCUAUGGAGGUUCUCUUGCGACCUCUCUUCAGCAUACCCUCCAGAACAUUAACCCCACCACCGCCAUCACCACCCUGUUAAACACGUUUUCAAAACGUGUAUAAUGUGGCCAUCUAAUUUAUUUUUAAUUAUUAGUUUUCUAAUUUAAAUUGAUAUUUAUCUUUAUUUAGUUUACUUUUAAAACGUUGGGUUUGGUUUAAAAUUUGAAUAAAGAUAAAACAUCUCUUCCUAAUAUCUCUCAUACACGUUACGGGUGGUUUACUAAAAUCAAGGGGAUAACGGCUCAUAACUUCCUCUUUUAUUUAAACUUGUCAUCUUGAUGGGAGAUGUUUUACGGUCACGUUUUUUCAAGAAAAAUAUUGAGGGUCCCUGGUCUAACAACAGAGCCUGUGUAUACCAUCUACUCUCAGGAAUUAAGUGUUGGAUAGACUAGAAAAUUCUGAGUACAAAGCAUGGCUUGUUUUCGUUGGUUUUGUUUGCAUUCCAGUAGAAAGGUUGUGUACAAUUGAAUUUGAUAACUAUGGCAGGAGGUAAGUUUUCUAACUUGUGCAUGAUGAAUAUAGUCUUUUACACCCCACCAAUCAUCUCACUCUCAAAACUCUCCAUUUUUGCCUCCAUUAAUUCCCACUCUCUCCAAAACCCUGAUUUCUUCCUCUUCUCGUUUCCUCUCGCCCGCCCCUGGUACGCCAAUUUCCAUUCUCUCGCUCUUUUUUUUGGCAAUUUUGGCUUGAGUUUUUUGGGUUUUUGGUAAUUUAUCUUUAAUUUUUGUGGGUAUCCUUCGUUUUUUUAGUUAUCAUACAUGAGUUGAGUAGUCGUAGACGAUUUUUUAUUGUUUUAAACUGAACGGAUUCUUUGUAUUUCGAAAAUGAAAUUCAUUGUUUGUGAAGUAACUUUUAAAGCUGUUGAGUUGAGUUUGAAAACUUAAUGUGCUUAAAUUUAUCUAUGUGGAUUUGAAUCAGUUAGACAAGCAGCACAGGAGAGCCAAUCGAGCGCGGAGGUGAAUGCCGAUAGAAGAGAAUGGUUUAUGCAAGGUACAUUAAUAGUAAUUUGAUCUGAUGCCAAUUUUAUUUCUAUAUUAAUUUAUUAGAUUAUGUAAUGUUAUAAAUUCUUUGUUCAAAAUGUAGAGCUUGGAAAUUUAGUCGGUACAUUAUGGUAAUGAAUGUAGCUUGUGUAUCUGUUCAAAUUUAUGUCUAGCUUUGCUGUUUUGGUAAUGGUUUGUUUAGUAUAAAUUUUGUGUUGGUUAUGAUGUUGUUUAGUGGUUUGGAUCAC